CUGUCAGUCGACACAGCAGGAACCACAACCACCAUGACUCUCAUCACCAUCCUCGUCUGGACGCUGGUCUGCUGCUGUUUUACAGGAUCCAGUGGUCAAGUCACUGUGACUCAGCCUCCUGUGGCAACAACUUCUCCUGGAUCUACAGUCACUCUGACCUGUAAAACCAACCGAGCUGUCGGAACCUGUAGUGGUGCGCAGUGUAUGUUCUGGUAUCAACAGAAAUAUGGGCAGCCUCCAAAGCUCCUAAUAAGACAUGCGAGCACACGUGAAUCAGGAACUCCAGACCGGUUUAGUGGCAGUGGAACAGGCAGUGACUUUUCUUUGACCAUCAGUGGAGUUCAGGCUGAAGAUGCAGCAGUUUACUACUGUCAGAGUGCACAUGUGCAUAGCAGUCCUUGGGUGUUCACACAGUGA